rnacentral:rRNA from 1 species
UGGUUUCGACUGAUGGUGAGAGUGGCGCACGGGUGCGUAACACGUAGCUGACCUGCCCUUCGCAGGGGGAUAAGUUGCCGAAAGGUGAGCUAAUACCGCGUAAUCUCAUGGGACCUAGCACCCCAUGAGGAAAGCUGAGGCGGCGAAGGAGGGGGCUGCGGCCCAUCAGCUAGUUGGUAGGGUAAAGGCCUACCAAGGCGAUGACGGGUAGGGGGCCUGAGAGGGUGACCCCCCACACUGGCACUGAGAUACGGGCCAGACUCCUACGGGAGGCAGCAGUAAGGAAUAUUGCACAAUGGGCGCAAGCCUGAUGCAGCAACGCCGCGUGAAGGAUGAAGGCUUUCGAGUUGCAAACUUCUUUUCUGCGGGAAGAGAACGGACGGUACCGCAGGAACAAGUCUCGGCUAACUACGUGCCAGCAGCCGCGGUAAAACGUAGGAGGCGAGCGUUAUCCGGAUUUACUGGGCGUAAAGCGCACGCAGGCGGUGGCAUCAGUGAUGCGUGAAAGCUCCCGGCUCAACUGGGAGAGGCCGUAUCAUACUGUGUCACUGGAGACAGAUAGAGGCAUACGGAAUUCCGGGUGGAGUGGUGAAAUGCGUAGAGAUCCGGAGGAACACCAGUGGCGAAGGCGGUAUGCUGGGUCUGAUCUGACGCUGAGGUGCGAAAGCGUGGGGAGCGAACGGGAUUAGAAACCCCGGUAGUCCACGCCGUAAACGAUGCAAACUAGAUGUUGGCGGUCGAAAGGCCGAGAGAUCGGAGCUAACGCGAUAAGUNUGCCGCCUGUGGGCUACGGCCGCAAGGCUAAAACUCAAAGGAAUUGACGGGGACCCGCACAAGCAGCGGAGCGUGUGGUUUAAUUCGAGGCUACGCGAAGAACCUUACCUGGGCUCGACAUGAUGGUAGUAGCGACCUGAAAGGGAAGCGACCUUCGGGAGCCAUCACAGGUGCUGCAUGGCUGUCGUCAGCUCGUGCCGUGAGGUGUUCGGUUAAGUCCGAAAACGAGCGCAACCCCUAGCCCUAGUUACAAGUGUCUAGUGCGACUGCCCGGGGAAACUGGGAGGAAGGUGGGGAUGACGUCAAGUCAGCAUGGCCUUUAUGUC